rnacentral:tRNA from 1 species
GCUGGGGCUCAGUGGUAGAGCACUUGCCUAGCAUGUGUGAGGCACUGGGUUCAAUCCUCAGUACCGCA